rnacentral:rRNA from 1 species
AACAAACGCUGGCGGCGUGCCUAAUACAUGCAAGUCGAACGGGGAAAGCUUUCGGGUGAGUACUAGUGGCGCACGGGUGAGGAACGCGUGGAUAAUCUGCCUUAGAGUGGGGGAUAACUAGUCGAAAGAUUAGCUAAUAUCGCAUAAGACCACGAGAGCUGCGGCUUUUGAGGUCAAAGGUUUUUCGCUCUAAGAUGAGUCCGCGUAAGAUUAGCUAGUUGGUGAGGUAACGGCUCACCAAGGCGACGAUCUUUAACUGGUCUGAGAGGAUGAUCAGUCACACUGGAACUGAGACACGGUCCAGACUCCUACGGGAGGCAGCAGUAGGGAAUAUUGCACAAUGGAGGAAACUCUGAUGCAGCGACGCCGCGUGAGUGAUGAAGGCCUUCGGGUCGUAAAGCUCUGUCGCAGGGGAAUAACACAAUGAAGGUACCCUGUAAGAAAGGAUCGGCUAACUUCGUG